rnacentral:rRNA from 1 species
AUUCCAGCUCCAAUAGCGUAUAUUAAAGUUGUUGCAGUUAAAAAGCUCGUAGUUGGAUUUCUGGCGGGAUGAACACGCCCUCAGCUGAGUGUGCAUGAGCGUCUCACCAUCCUUCUGUUAACCCUUAAGGUUUUAACGACCUUCUGGGGGCUCAGAUAUUUUACCUUGAGAAAAUUAGAGUGUUUCAGGCAGGCUAGCGCCGGGAUACAUUAGCAUGGAAUAAUGGAAUAGGACUUUUUCCUCUUCUGUUGGUCUGAGGGGUUCGAGCAAUGAUUAAUAGGGAUAGUUGGGGGUGCUAGUAUUCGGCGGCCAGAGGUGAAAUUCUUUGAUCCGCUGAAGACUAACUUAUGCGAAAGCAUUCACCAAGGAUGUCUUCAUUA